rnacentral:rRNA from 1 species
AUAAUACUCCAUAGAUUAGAGACACUGGAAUGUUCUUUAGUCGAAAGUUCUGGCGCCUUAGGAUGGAUCUGCGGUCGAUUAGGUUGUUGUUGGGGUAACGGCCCAACAAGCCUGUAAUCGAUACGGGUUGUGGGAGCAAGAGCCCGGAGAUGGAAUCUGAGACACGAUUCCAGGCCCUACGGGGCGCAGCAGGCGCGAAAACUUUACAAUGCAGGAAACUGUGAUAAGGGAACUCCGAGUGCCCGUAUACGCGGGCUGUCCAGGUGUUUAAAAAUCAUCUGAAGAAAGGGCCGGGCAAGACCGGUGCCAGCCGCCGCGGUAAUACCGGCGGCUCGAGUGGUGGCCACUAUUAUUGGGCUUAAAGCGUCCGUAGCUGGACCGAUAAGUCUCUUGGGAAAUCCGCCGGCUCAACCGGCGGGCGUCUAAGGGAUACUGUUAGUCUAGGGACCGGGAGAGGUGAGAGGUACUCCGGGGGUAGGAGUGAAAUCCUGUAAUCCCCGGGGGACCACCGAUGGCGAAGGCAUCUCACCAGAACGGCUCCGACAGUGAAGGACGACGGCUGGGGGAGCGAACCGGAUUAGAUACCCGGGUAGUCCCAGCCGGUAACUAUGCGCGUUAGGUGU